CUGGAGGUUGUUGCCUUUGUAGUUUUUCUGUAAACCUAGGAUGGAGCAGGAGCCAGAGGAGCCUGAAGGGCGGCUUUAGCCCAUGCCAGAUGCCACCAGCCCUGGGGGAGUGCUGCAGCAUCCUGGCAGUGACAGAGUUGCCGAGGAGUCCUGGCCAGGGGCCUGGCACAGGCAGCAGUGUGAGAAGCUGCUCUGCUCUGAGAGCUGUCCUGACUGAGGAUGUGGUAACCAACACAAACAAUCCUGCUGAGCCCCACUGAUGUAUCUGCCCUGCCAAUGCCAGGGACCAUGGGAAGGAACCAUUGCAACGGGCUCAGUGGACAGGUCACUCUUGCUGUCAUCUCCAAGCAAACAAGUGUGUGAUGUGCUCCAUGGAGAAAUGUGAAUGCAGCUAUGCCUCUGUCAGUUGAUAAGCAACAAUACUGCUGGUUAAUUGCUUCAAAAGUGUUAACCAGCAGCUCAUUAGUCUUAAAGAUUUAAACUCAAUAACCCUUUUAAUGUGAUAUUGAAUGAGAAGUGAGUAAAUAAUUGCAUGCUGAUACCUGCCACUGAGAUACAUGAGAUGUGGGUUAAAGAUAGAGAAAAGCAAAACCUGACUGAAAUAUUUGGGAAGAUGAGAAAGAUGCAAGUCACAACCUCAGUCUGCAAUAUGAAUCCGAGCCCAGGUUUUCUAUAAUGACUGUUUUGAUAGGAGUAACAAAUAAUAGCCAACUUGUCUGCGCUGAGAGUUAACCCCAGUACAGAAACAAAACCACUCUACUCUUAAUUUAGUAACUAAAGAAGAAUACCAUAGAGAGGCUGAGUGGAAGAUUGUAACAAAUGCUGGAGCUUUCCUUAUAGCUCAUCGACUCCUCUCCUGCAGCAUGUGUUUAUGGGUGCUUCUUCAAUCACUGAGGCUAUAAAUUACU